UACGUAGGGGGCUAGCGUUGUCCGGAAUCACUGGGCGUAAAGCGCGCGUAGGCGGUUUGUUAAGUGGGAUGUGAAAUCCCCGGGCUUAACCUGGGAAUUGCAUUUCAAACUGGCCGACUAGAGUACGGUAGAGGGAGGUAGAAUUUCCUGUGUAGCGGUGAAAUGCGUAGAUAUAGGAAGGAAUACCAGUGGCGAAGGCGGCCUCCUGGAUCGAUACUGACGCUGAGGCGCGAAAGCUAGGGGAGCAAACGGG
rnacentral:rRNA from 1 species